UGGGGAAUAUUGGGCAAUGGGCGCAAGCCUGACCCAGCGACGCCGCGUGUGGGAAGAAGUCUUUCGGGACGUAAACCCAUGUUGUACGGGACGAAGGAAUUGACGGUACCGUACGAGGAAGCCCCGGCAAACUACGUGCCAGCAGCCGCGUUAAUACGUAGGGGGCGAGCGUUUUCCGGAAUCACUGGGCGUAAAGCGCACGUAGGCGGGCUGUUAAGUCGGCCGUGAAAUACACUGGCUCAACCGGUGCAGGUCGGUCGAUACUGGAGGUCUGGAGUAUGGGAGAGGGAA
rnacentral:rRNA from 1 species